GAUGAACGCUAGCGAUAGGCUUAACACAUGCAAGUCGAGGGGCAGCGAGGGUAGCAAUACCUGUCGGCGACCGGCGCACGGGUGAGUAACGCGUAUGUAACCUGCCCGCAACAGGGGGAUAACCCGGCGAAAGUCGGACUAAUACCGCAUAAAACAGGGGUCCCGCAUGGGAAUAUUUGUUAAAGAUUUAUCGGUUGCGGAUGGGCAUGCGUACCAUUAGGUAGUUGGUGAGGUAACGGCUCACCAAGCCCUCGAUGGUUAGGGGUUCUGAGAGGAAGGUCCCCCACACUGGUACUGAGACACGGACCAGACUCCUACGGGAGGCAGCAGUGAGGAAUAUUGGUCAAUGGGCGAGAGCCUGAACCAGCCAAGUCGCGUGAAGGAUGACUGCCCUAUGGGUUGUAAACUUCUUUUACAAGGGAAUAAAAUGAGAUACGUGUAUUUUAUUGCAUGUACCCUUGGA
rnacentral:rRNA from 1 species